rnacentral:pre_miRNA from 13 species
AAGAGAGGGAGAGAGAGUGGGGAUGGGGGAAGCAAAUGCAAGCAUCUCAGUCUUAAAUGUGGAUUCUUAAAUCUGCUGUUUCGUUAGUUGGUUGUCAUUCAUUCAUGUGCUAUCUGC